rnacentral:rRNA from 1 species
CUGAAUGGAAGGGCCAUCGCUCAACGGAUAAAAGGUACUCCGGGGAUAACAGGCUGAUACCGCCCAAGAGUUCAUAUCGACGGCGGUGUUUGGCACCUCGAUGUCGGCUCAUCACAUCCUGGGGCUGAAGUAGGUCCCAAGGGUAUGGCUGUUCGCCAUUUAAAGUGGUACGCGAGCUGGGUUUAGAACGUCGUGAGACAGUUCGGUCCCUAUCUGCCGUGGGCGCUGGAGAACUGAGGGGGGCUGCUCCUAGUACGAGAGGACCGGAGUGGACGCAUCACUGGUGUUCGGGUUGUCAUGCCAAUGGCACUGCCCGGUAGCUAAAUGCGGAAGAGAUAAGUGCUGAAAGCAUCUAAGCACGAAACUUGCCCCGAGAUGAGUUCUCCCUGAGACUU